AGUAUUGAAGGUGAUGCCUGCCCAGUGACGCCAAUGUUCAACGGCCGCGGUAUCCUAACCGUGCGAAGGUAGCGCAAUCAAUUGUCUCAUAAAUCGAGACCUGUAUGAAUGGCUAAACGAGAUCUCAACUGUCUCUUGUAGAUAAUCAGUGAAAUUGAUCUCCCCGUGCAAAAGCGAGGAUAAUCACAUAAGACGAGAAGACCCUGUGGAACUUAAAAAUCACUAGUCACCUCCCUAACACAGAACCUAGCAGGCCCACUACCCAGAGAGCCCUGACUAAUAUUUUUUGGUUGGGGCGACCUUGGAGAAUAACAAAACCUCCAAAUACAAGACCACAAAUCUUUACUGAGUGCCACCACUCAAAGUGCUAACAGUAACCAGACCCAGUAUCCCAUCUGAUCAAUGAACCAAGCUACCCCAGGGAUAACAGCGCAAUCUCCUCCAAGAGCUCCUAUCGACGAGGGGGAAUUACGACCUCGAUGUUGGAUCAGGACAUCCUAAUGGUGCAGCCGCUA
rnacentral:rRNA from 1 species